rnacentral:tRNA from 1 species
GGGCCUGUAGCUCAGCUGGUUAGAGCACUCGCUUGAUAAGCGAGGGGUCGAUGGUUCAAGUCCAUUCAGGCCCA